rnacentral:rRNA from 1 species
UACGAAGGGAGCGAGCGUUAUUCGGAAUCACUGGGCGUAAAGGGCGCGUAGGCGGCCAAAUAAGUCGAUUGUCAAAUUUCCCGGCCCAACCGGGAACCGGCAAUCGAAACUGCUUGGCUCGAGUGCGGAAGAGAGAGGUGGAAUUGUCGGAGUAGCGGUAAAAUGCGUAGAUCUCGACAGGAACACCGAUGGCGAAGGCAGCCUCUUGGUCCGUUACUGACGCUAAGGCGCGAAAGCGUGGGGAGCAAACAGG